GGAUUUGGAAUUAAGUGAUAAAAAUAUUUGAUUUGGAAUCAGGAGAACCUGUGUUCAAAUCUCAGCUUUGUCA
rnacentral:tRNA from 1 species